CCGGAAAUGGAGGUAAUAAUUAAGAACUUCAAAGAUAUAUGAUACUAUGAACUAAGCAGUAUCCGAACGACCGAUCAAUGUAUAUACAUGUGUAAACUAAGAAUUAAUCAGCCUCUCAUUGCUCAACAAUUGCCUCAUAAACGUAAUUAUAAUAGGUUCCAAAUUACUAGUUUAAUUAGCCUGUGAAGCUGAGAAAUUUUCUCCGAUACAAAGCGGCCGACACAUCCUCUAUAAUCAGCACUACUACUGCCUGCAGUUCCCACUGCAGAAGAAAAUUCAUCUACUUCACAGCUUUCGGCACUGAAAGCCACCUUAUUGUGUGCUAAGAGUUUGCUUAAAUUUCCUCCUAAAUCUCCACAGAUCGAUGCAUGCACAUAUCAGCAUUGUAAGAUCUAUAUAGCCCAAACAAAUAGCCGCAUACAUAACUAACUAGCUACUUGCUCGGCAAUUGCAUGGUCACUAAGUCGAUCUAUACGCGAGCAGUAACGCUCAUGUAUACAUAGACUUAGUAACAUAUAUACCGAAGCAGGUAGACAUCGUCAUCAUCCUCGACCAAUCAAUCUCACCGUUG
rnacentral:lncRNA from 1 species